GACUUGCUUUCUCUCUUACAUGCCUUGAGUGUAGGACCGUUGGCAUCUUAAUUACCCUCCCACACCCAAGGCUUGCAGGAG
rnacentral:miRNA from 1 species